UGCAGUCGACGAUGAAGCCGCUUCGGUGGUGGAUUAGUGGCGAACGGGUGAGUAACACGUGGGCAAUCUGCCCUGCACUCUGGGACAAGCCCUGGAAACGGGGUCUAAUACCGGAUAUGACCACCGGCCGCAUGGUCUGGUGGUGGAAAGCUCCGGCGGUGCAGGAUGAGCCCGCGGCCUAUCAGCUUGUUGGUGGGGUGAUGGCCUACCAAGGCGACGACGGGUAGCCGGCCUGAGAGGGCGACCGGCCACACUGGGACUGAGACACGGCCCAGACUCCUACGGGAGGCAGCAGUGGGGAAUAUUGCACAAUGGGCGCAAGCCUGAUGCAGCGACGCCGCGUGAGGGAUGACGGCCUUCGGGUUGUAAACCUCUUUCAGCAGGGAAGAAGCGCAAGUGACGGUACCUGCAGAAGAAGCACCGGCUAACUACGUGCCAGCAGCCGCGGUAAUACGUAGGGUGCGAGCGUUGUCCGGAAUUAUUGGGCGUAAAGAGCUCGUAGGCGGCCUGUCGCGUCGGAUGUGAAAGCCCGGGGCUUAACCCCGGGUCUGCAUUCGAUACGGGCAGGCUAGAGUUCGGUAGGGGAGAUCGGAAUUCCUGGUGUAGCGGUGAAAUGCGCAGAUAUCAGGAGGAACACCGGUGGCGAAGGCGGAUCUCUGGGCCGAUACUGACGCUGAGGAGCGAAAGCGUGGGGAGCGAACAGGAUUAGAUACCCUGGUAGUCCACGCCGUAAACGUUGGGAACUAGGUGUGGGCGACAUUCCACGUCGUCCGUGCCGCAGCUAACGCAUUAAGUUCCCCGCCUGGGGAGUACGGCCGCAAGGCU
rnacentral:rRNA from 1 species